CGAUUCCAAUGGAUUGCUUUUGUCCCCUUUGUGGACACACAUCUGCUCAUAGGCAGUGCAGCGAUCACCAUUGAGAAAGAUCCUUAUGGAUUUAAAAACCUGAGAUGUUCUACAUGACGGUGUGAUUGCUUAAUUUAUUAAACAGGAAAGGACUGAUUUUAACUUCAAGCAAAUUGGAGGAGGGAUGCGCUGUCUUGGAGUCCUUGCCGCUGCCGUCUGCCAAUGGUUGAGGACCAGGCGACAGAGUGUCCAGGGACUGGUGAACAAGUUUCUCUCUCUCUCUCUCUGUGUGUCUCCCGCUUGCACAUUCCCUCUCCACUCUCCCUCCCCCAUCUCUCCCCCAGGUUUUCAGGAGGCAGGGUGGAACAUCGGAUGACGGAAUGGCCAGAAGGGCAGCGUCUCCCCUCCAGAAUUGGGGGUAGCUCAGUCCGAGAGGCGGCCAGGGGAGGAGUGUGACGAGGAGGAUGGCGAGGCAGGGCCAUAAGGGUGCACAGCCGGCACUGAGUCAGCUGAGUUCGAGAGAGAGACACACUGUAUGUGUGUACGUCUUUGUUUUUUACGUUGUUUUAAGUUGAAUUUCUGUAACAAUAAUGUUACGUUGACUGUUCUGCUGAUUCCCGCCUCCUAAUGUACCCAUUACAGAAACAUUUGGCGACAGUGAUUUUACCAAGUAGGAUGUAUAGCCUCAGCCUCAGACCACCCAUGAAUUCAUUAAAAGUAAAUGUCUUGGCAGAUGAUAUAUCCUCAAGUACAGGGGACCAUUUAUAUAAACCCCUGUGGUGAAGGCAGCAGGAAACUUGCUAAGUGCAUUAAGGCUGAAAGGUGCGUUUAAAUAAAGAACAAUAUAAAGACCCCAUCACACAUUAAUAACUUUAAUUCAACAGUUAUUUCUCCCUUCAAUAAAGGUGUUUCAUGGACAAAAAGGAUUUCCAGGGUUUCGUGUGGGGCAUUUGUUUGCAAAGUAUGUACCUGUUUUAACAUGCAUGUUUUUGCUUUGAAUUAUAUAGUUUCCUAGUGUGCAGAAGCUCUUUUAACAGAGCGAGUACCUCUUGAUACCCCCUGGUACCACUGGAACAGCGUGAGCAGGCCAUGUUUGCAGGCAGUUUUCAUUUGUC